rnacentral:lncRNA from 1 species
UUCAUCACGACGGAAUCCUCCAUAACCCUAAUAUCCCUGUAAAGACUGCACACCAAUUCAUCACACCUCCGUCCACUGCCAUACACCUCCGUCCACCGCCAUGAGUUUUAUCAAUUGUGUACUUCGAUCACGAUUCAGUUCUGGUGAUCUACGCAGCCACCAUCACACUUUGCCGUAAACCUUUGUUCGAUGGAGCUUUCGGUCGUACCGUAACUACCAUUGCGCCAUCAGGUGUGCUCUGUGCUGAUAAACAUAAUGCCACAGGAAAUUAGUUUGAAUUCUGUGAUAUUCAACACACCUAGCAAGAAUUUCAACGACUUAAAGCUCUAAAUUCAUUCACUAAGAAUGACACUGAAGAGUUCAUUGAUGAUCGUGAAUUAGCUCAACAGAAAGCUGAAGCAGCAGGUGCGUUUUUAUUAUAUAUACAUAUAGAUUUUUCCACUUUUCAAUUAUUAUAUAAAAGAAAAAUUUUGUAUUGGUUUCCCUCCCUUGUUUUGUAACCUUUGUUGUGACGAUUAAUGCCUAUUACUGUGGUUUAAUUUUGAAAAAUAAUAGUUAUAACAAAGGUACAUUAGAUUUGGUGUGUGAGUGUGAGGAUCUGUUAUUA